GACGAACGCUGGCGGCGUGCUUAACACAUGCAGGUCGAACGGUGAACCUCUUCGGAGGGGAUUAGUGGCGAACGGGUGAGUAACACGUUGGCAACCUGCCCCCGUCUCUGUGAUAACUCCAAGAAAUUGGGGCUAAUACCGGAAGAUCACCGCUUCCCUCAUGGGUGGUGGUUGAAAGGUUUUCCGGCUGGGGAUGGGCCCGAGGCCUAGCAGCUUGUUGGUGGUGUAGUGGCCUACCAAUGCGGCGACGGGUAGCCGGCCUGAGAAGGUGACCGGCCACCAUGGUACUGAGGGACGGACCAGAAUCCUACGGGAGGCAGCGGUGGGGAAUAUUGCGGAAUGGGCGGAAGCCUGACGCAGCGACGCCGGGUGGGGGAUGACGGCCUUCGGGUUGUAAACCACUUUCAGCAGGGACGAAGACGAAGUGACGGUACCUGCAGAAGAAGCAACGGCCAACUACGUG
rnacentral:rRNA from 1 species